CCUACGGAGAGCUGCAGUAACGAAUCUUCCGCAAUGCGCGAAAGCGUGACGGAGCGACGCCGCGUGUGGGACGAAGCCCUUCGGGGUGUAAACCACUGUCAGGGGAUACAUGAUCCCCAGAGGAAGGCACGGCUAACUCUGUGCCAGCAGCCGCGGUAAGACAGAGGUGCCAAGCGUUAGGCGGAAUCACUGGGCUUAAAGCGUGUGUAGGCGGAUGCCUAAGUACCUUGUGAAAUCCCACGGCUCAACCGUGGAACUGCUGGGUAUACUGGGCGUCUUGAGCAGGUUAGGGGCUACCGGAACAAGUGGUGGAGCGGUGAAAUGCGUAGAUAUCACUUGGAACGCCAAUGGUGAAAACAGGUGGCUGGACUUGCUGACGCUGAGACACGAAAGCCAGGGGAGCAAACGGGAUUAGAUACCCUAGUAGUC
rnacentral:rRNA from 1 species